AUGCACGCUGGCGGCGUGCCUAAUCCCUGCAAGUCGCGCGCACAGACGAGGAGCUUGCUCCUCUGACGUUAGCGGCGGACGGGUGAAUAACACGUGGAUAACCUACCUAUAAGACUGGGAUAACUUCGGGAAACCGGAGCUAAUACCGGAUAAUAUAUUGAACCGCAUGGUUCAAUAGUGAAAGACGGUUUUGCUGUCACUUAUAGAUGGAUCCGCGCCGCAUUAGCUAGUUGGUAAGGUAACGGCUUACCAAGGCAACGAUGCGUAGCCGACCUGAGAGGGUGAUCGGCCACACUGGAACUGAGACACGGUCCAGACUCCUACGGGAGGCAGCAGUAGGGAAUCUUCCGCAAUGGGCGAAAGCCUGACGGAGCAACGCCGCGUGAGUGAUGAAGGUCUUCGGAUCGUAAAACUCUGUUAUUAGGGAAGAACAAAUGUGUAAGUAACUAUGCACGUCUUGACGGUACCUAAUCAGAAAGCCACGGCUAACUACGUG
rnacentral:rRNA from 1 species